GGGAGAUGGAGAUAGAAAUAGUUUACCUUGUGACAAGUGGUAUGAAGGCCACAACCUGAUCUAAAACAUAGAGAGUAACUUACAAUACACUGGAGAAGCGCAUAACUAAAAACAUAUCACCCGAAAAGAAUUUGUCUACUAAAAAUGCAUCUAAGCUGAAAGUACGCAAACCUACUCGUCAACUCAGGGCCAGUAAGGAUGCCAGACAUUCAAGUCGUACUUUGCUCGUCAUCUAUAUUUGUGACUGAUGGACGGUGGGGAUGGUUGAAAAGAAUAAUGGAGAGAUGACUGGUGUUGUUGUUACCACCGUUGGUGGCGUUGGUAAAGGAGGCGGCGGACACGGGGGGAGGAGCAGCGGAUCGUCGGCACCUGAACCGUGGUGAUUGGACAAAGUUAUUGAGUUAGCCGGUGGCGACGGUUGGCGUUGAUGAUUGUGGAGGCUGUAUGGCUUUUGUGCAGCGGCAAACCUCGGGGAGGAGAAAAACAGCUUAACGUUGGUCAUUAGUGAAGGCGGUAGAGGCGGCAUCGGUUGUUUUGGUUUUAGAGAGAGAGAAAGUGUAGAGAGGGGGAAGAGAGAAAAUAUAGGGAGAGAGUC
rnacentral:lncRNA from 1 species